rnacentral:rRNA from 1 species
UACGGGGGGUGCAAGCGUUAUCCGGAUUCACUGGGUUUAAAGGGUGCGUAGGCGGUCCGAUAAGUCAGUGGUGAAAGCCCGUAGCUCAACUACGGAAUUGCCAUUGAAACUGCCGGACUUGAAUCUGGUUGAAGUGGGCGGAAUAUAUCAUGUAGCGGUGAAAUGCUUAGAUAUGAUGUAGAACACCGAUUGCGAAGGCAGCUCACUAAGCCAACAUUGACGCUGAGGCACGAAAGCGUGGGGAGCGAACAGG